GAUGAACGCUGGCGGCGUGCCUAAUACAUGCCAGUCGAGCGAACGGACGAGAAGCUUGCUUCUCUGAUGUUAGCGGCGGACGGGUGAGUAACACGUGGAUAACCUACCUAUAAGACUGGGAUAACUUCGGGAAACCGGAGCUAAUACCGGAUAAUAUUUUGAACCGCAUGGUUCAAAAGUGAAAGACGGUCUUGCUGUCACUUAUAGAUGGAUCCGCGCUGCAUUAGCUAGUUGGUAAGGUAACGGCUUACCAAGGCAACGAUGCAUAGCCGACCUGAGAGGGUGAUCGGCCACACUGGAACUGAGACACGGUCCAGACUCCUACGGGAGGCAGCAGUAGGGAAUCUUCCGCAAUGGGCGAAAGCCUGACGGAGCAACGCCGCGAGAGUGAUGAAGGUCUUCGGAUCGUAAAACUCUGUUAUUAGGGAAGAACAUAUGUGUAAGUAACUGUGCACAUCUUGACGGUACCUAAUCAGAAAGCCACGGCUAACUACGUG
rnacentral:rRNA from 1 species